rnacentral:piRNA from 1 species
UCCCCUAUCACAUGAUUAAAGAAAAGACUU